rnacentral:rRNA from 1 species
GACGAACGCUGGCGGCGUGCCUAAUACAUGCAAGUCGAGCGGAAAUUUUAUUGGUGCUUGCACCUUUAAAAUUUUAGCGGCGGACGGGUGAGUAACACGUGGGUAACCUACCUUAUAGAUUGGGAUAACUCCGGGAAACCGGGGCUAAUACCGAAUAAUACUUUUUAACACAUGUUUUGAAGUUGAAAGACGGCAUCUCGCUGUCACUAUAAGAUGGACCCGCGGCGCAUUAGCUAGUUGGUGAGGUAACGGCUCACCAAGGCAACGAUGCGUAGCCGACCUGAGAGGGUGAUCGGCCACACUGGGACUGAGACACGGCCCAGACUCCUACGGGAGGCAGCAGUAGGGAAUCUUCCACAAUGGACGAAAGUCUGAUGGAGCAACGCCGCGUGAGUGAAGAAGGAUUUCCGGUUCGUAAAACUCUGUUGCAAGGGAAGAGCAAGUAGCGUAGUAACUGGCGCUACCUUGACGGUACCUUGUUAGAAAGCCACGCUAACUAC